GCCGGAAUGGCGGAGUCAGGUUAAACGCGCCAGUCUCGAAAACUGGUUUCCGAAACCUUGGCGCAACGAGAAAAACCGACGAGCUUUGCUCGUCAAGCGACUCUGCGCCAGUCGGAUGGAAGCGCAGGUUCGAAUCCUGCUUCCGGCG
rnacentral:tRNA from 1 species